CAAGCGUUAUCUGGAAUUAUUGGGCGUAAAGCGCGCGUAGGCGGUUUUUUAAGUCUGAUGUGAAAGCCCACGGCUCAACCGUGGAGGGUCAUUGGAAACUGGAAAACUUGAGUGCAGAAGAGGAAAGUGGAAUUCCAUGUGUAGCGGUGAAAUGCGCAGAGAUAUGGAGGAACACCAGUGGGAAGGCGACUUUUUGGUCUGUAACUGACGCUGAUGUGGAAAGCGUGGGGAUCAAACAGGAUUAGAUACCCUGGUAGUCCACGCCGUAAACGAUGAGUGCUAAGUGUUAGGGGGUUUCCGCCCCUUAGUGCUGCAGCUAACGCAUUAAGCACUCCGCCUGGGGAGUACGACCGCAAGGUUGAAACUCAAAGGAAUUGACGGGGACCCGCACAAGCGGUGGAGCAUGUGGUUUAAUUGAAGCAACGCGAAGAACCUUACCAAAUCUUGACAUCCUUUGACCCUUCUAGAGAUAGAAGUUUCCCCUUCGGGGGACAAAGUGACAGGUGGUG
rnacentral:rRNA from 1 species